rnacentral:rRNA from 1 species
ACAUGCAAGUCGAACGGUAACGCGGGGCAACCUGGCGACGAGUGGCGAACGGGUGAGUAAUACAUCGGAACGUGCCCAGUAGUGGGGGAUAGCCCGGCGAAAGCCGGAUUAAUACCGCAUACGACCUACGGGUGAAAGCGGGGGAUCGCAAGACCUCGCGCUAUUGGAGCGGCCGAUGUCAGAUUAGGUAGUUGGUGGGGUAAAGGCCCACCAAGCCGACGAUCUGUAGCUGGUCUGAGAGGACGACCAGCCACACUGGGACUGAGACACGGCCCAGACUCCUACGGGAGGCAGCAGUGGGGAAUUUUGGACAAUGGGCGCAAGCCUGAUCCAGCCAUGCCGCGUGCGGGAAGAAGGCCUUCGGGUUGUAAACCGCUUUUGUCAGGGAAGAAACGCGCUGGGUUAAUACCUCGGCGUAAUGACGGUACCUGAAGAAUAAGCACCGGCUAACUACGUGCCAGCAGCCGCGGUAAUACGUAGGGUGCAAGCGUUAAUCGGAAUUACUGGGCGUAAAGCGUGCG